rnacentral:rRNA from 1 species
UACGUAGGCAGCGAGCGUUGUUCGGAGUUACUGGGCGUAAAGGGUGUGUAGGCGGUUGUUUAAGUUUGGUGUGAAAUCUCCCGGCUCAACUGGGAGGGUGCGCCGAAUACUGAAUGACUUCGAGUGCGGGAGAGGAGCGCGGAAUUCCCGGUGUAGCGGUGAAAUGCGUAGAGAUCGGGAGGAAGGCCGGUGGCGAAGGCGGCGCUCUGGAACAUUUCUGACGCUGAGGCUCGAACGCGUGGGGAGCAAACAGG